rnacentral:rRNA from 2 species
AUUUGUUUGGUGGCGAUAGCGAAGAGGUCACACCCGUUCCCAUACCGAACACGGAAGUUAAGCUCUUCAGCGCCGAUGGUAGUCGGGGGUUUCCCCCUGUGAGAGUAGGACGCCGCCAAGC